rnacentral:rRNA from 1 species
CUCUCUGUGCCGCAGUAAACGCAAUAAGCACUCCGCCUGGGGAGUACGGUCGCAAGACUAAAACUCAAAGGAAUUGACGGGGGCCCGCACAAGCAGCGGAGCAUGUGGUUUAAUUCGAAGCAACGCGAAGAACCUUACCAGGGCUUGACAUCCAGAGAAUCCUGUAGAGAUACGGGAGUGCCUUUCGGGGAACUCUGAGACAGGUGGUGCAUGGUUGUCGUCAGCUCGUGUCGUGAGAUGUUGGGUUAAGUCCCGCAACGAGCGCAACCCUUGUCAUUAGUUGCUACAUUAAGGUGAGCACUCUAAUGAGACUGCCGGGGACAACUCGGAGGAAGGUGGGGAUGACGUCAAAUCAUCAUGCCCUUUAUGUCCUGGGCUACACACGUGCUACAAUGGCUGAAACAGAAAGAAGCGAGCCCGUAAGGGGGAGCAAAUCUUUAAAUACAGUCCCAGUUCGGAUUGAGGGCUGCAACCCGCCCUCAUGAAGCUGGAGUUGCUAGUAAUCGCGAAUCAGCAUGUCGCGGUGAAUACGUUCCCGGGCCUUGUACACACCGCCCGUCACACCAUGAGAGUCUGCAACACCCGAAGCCUGUGAGGUAA